rnacentral:rRNA from 1 species
GAGUUUGAUCCUGGCUCAGAUUGAACGCUGGCGGAAUGCUUUACACAUGCAAGUCGAGCGGCAGCGCGGGGCAACCUGGCGGCGAGCGGCGAACGGGUGAGUAAUGCAUCGGAACAUGUCCAUGUCGUGGGGGAUAGCCCGGCGAAAGCCGGAUUAAUACCGCAUACGCCCGAGAGGGGAAAGUGGGGGACCGCAAGGCCUCACGCGAUUGGGUUGGCCGAUGUCCGAUUAGCUAGUUGGCGGGGUAAGAGCCCACCAAGGCGAUGAUCGGUAGCUGGUCUGAGAGGAUGAUCAGCCACACUGGGACUGAGACACGGCCCAGACUCCUACGGGAGGCAGCAGUGGGGAAUUUUGGACAAUGGGGGAAACCCUGAUCCAGCCAUUCCGCGUGAGUGAAGAAGGCCUUCGGUUGUAAG